AGGACGAACGCUGGCGGCGUGCUUAACACAUGCAAGUCGAGCGGUAAGGCCUUUCGGGGUACACGAGCGGCGAACGGGUGAGUAACACGUGGGUGAUCUGCCCUGCACUUCGGGAUAAGCCUGGGAAACUGGGUCUAAUACCGGAUAUGACCUCAGGUUGCAUGACUUGGGGGUAGGAAAGUAUUUUAGUCGGUGCAAGGAGUCGGGCCCGCGGCCUAUCAGUCUUUGGUUGGGUAGGGUAAUCGGCCUACCGAACGGCGGACGGACGGGUACGCCGACCGUGAGGAGGGUACGACCGGCCAACC
rnacentral:rRNA from 1 species